GUGGCGUUGCUUACACAACAGUUUUGAUCAAGAUUUCCUUCCUAGCUUUAGACAGGAGAGUAUAAGGGGGUUGUGAUUCGACCCCACCACUGGUAAUGCUAAAACUUCAGCAUUUGGAAAGAUCCAGCAACUGGCCCAUGGCAGCCCACAAUCUCAAGAUUAGACUUGAGGGGAGUAUCAGGAUUAGAUCAUGAGGACAUUGUACUUGAUUUGGAUAGAUUUGUGAUGUUCGGUUGAAGGGAGCUCCAGUUGGAAAAUUCGUGGGGCCUCAAUCGCUUAGAGAAGUGAGGCUCUGCAUGCUUCCAUUCAACCACAAUUUCGAUCACAGUAAGAAGAUGAGAAGAAGCGUCAAUGACAAUCGAUUUGAGGGGUUUCCAUAUUUUAGGGUUUGGUUUUUGGCUUCUUGGAUAUUAUGGGUUGUGGGUAUUCCUAUUUCGGGGAUUUGAUGGGAACGCCAUUGUGGAGAGACAGAGGUCUGGACAUCUUAGGAUUAGGGUUUGGAAAGACUAUCACCUACAGGGGAUAGAGAGAAACUCCAUGGGAGAGGUGACUCUACCAGUCACCUAUGGCUAUUGACAACAUCCACUCUAUUAAGCGACCAUCAAAUUUCUCUAAAUUGGUACUUUCUUUUCUCUUCAGAUAAAGUCACUCAACAUUUUAAUUAA